rnacentral:rRNA from 1 species
UACGUAGGUGGCAAGCGUUGUCCGGAAUUACUGGGCGUAAAGGGCGUGUAGGCGGCAUUUUAAGUUAGGCGUGAAAUCUCUGGGCUUAACCCAGAAAUAGCGUUUAAAACUGGAAGGCUUGAGGAUCGGAGAGGGCAGUGGAAUUCCCAGUGUAGCGGUGAAAUGCGUAGAUAUUGGGAGGAACACCAGUGGCGAAGGCGACUGCCUGGACGACACCUGACGCUGAGGCGCGAAAGCUAGGGGAGCAAAC